rfam:Vigna angularis cultivar Jingnong 6 chromosome 5, whole genome shotgun sequence.
ACCAAAGAGGCUGCGCCCAAUGAAUGCCCGCCACGUGUGGCGUAAGGAAGCUGAUUGGUGGGAUCCCCUUGUGGGUUGCACCGCCGACUGACCCUGAUCUUCUGUGAAGUGUUUGAGUGAGAGCAUACCUGUCGGGACCCGAAAAAUGGUGAACUAUGCCUGCACGGGGCGAAGCCAGAGGAAACUCUGGUGGAGGCCCGCAGUGAUAAUGUCGUGCAAAUCGUUCGUCUAACUUGGGUAUAAGGGUGAAAGACUAAUCGAACCGUCUAGUAGUUGGUUCCCUCCGAAGUUUCCCUUAGGAUAGUUGGAGCCCGCGGGCGAGUUCUAUCGGGUAAAGCCAAUGAUUAGAGGCAUCAGGGGUGCAAUGCCCUCGACCUAUUCUCAAACUUUAAAUAGGUAGGACGGUGCGGCUGCUCUGUUGAGCCGUGCCACGGAAUCAAGAGCUCCAAGUGGGCCAUUUUUGGUAAGCAGAACUGGCGAUGCGGGGUGAAUCGGAAGCUAGGUUACGAUGCCUAACUACGCAUUAACCUAGACCCCACAAAGGGUGUUGGUCGAUUAAGAUAGCAGGACGGUGGUCAUGGAAGUCGAAAUCCACUAAGGAGUGUGUAACAACUCACCUGCUGAAUCAACUAGCCCCAAAAAUGAAUGGCGCUAAAGCGCGCGACCUAUACCCGGCCGCCGGGGCAAGGACCAAGCCCCGAUGAAUAGAAGGACGCGGCGGUCGCUGCAAAACCCAAGGCGUGAGCUCGGGCAAAGCGGUCGUCGGUGCAUAUCUUUAUGGUAGUACAAAAUAUUCAAAUGAGAACUUUGAAGGCCGAAGAGGGUAAAGGUUCCAUGUGAACGACACUUGCACAUGGGUUAGUCGAUCCUAAGGGAUGGGGGAAGCCCAUCUGAUAGCGCUUUCAGCGCGUACUCCGAAAGGGAAUCGGGUUAAAAUUCCUGAACCGGGACGUGGCGGCUGACGACAACGUUAGAGAGUCCGGAGGUGUCAGCGAGGGCCCCGAAAAGAGUUAUCUUUUCUGUUUAACAGCUUGCCUACCUUGGAAAUGGCUCAGCCAGAGGUAGGGUCCAGCGGCUAAAAGAGCACCGCACGUCGCGUGGUGUCGGGUGCGCCCCCGGCAGCCCUUGAAAAUUGAUAACAGUUGAAAAACUGUUAUUUUUAUACUUAAAAUUGACGUCAAUUACAACCUUUAUGACUAAGAAAUUAGCUUGAACUCAUGAUUUUGUUGAAUUGUUAGAAAUAAGAGAGUUGAAUGUGAAUUUAAUGGUUUUGUGCUACAUUCCCUUGAUUUGGUAGGCUAAUUGAAUUGUUUGAAAGAAGAGUUGAAGUACGGAAUGAUUGGAAUGCAGAAAAGUCAACCAGUCAACCAGCAAAGUCAACCAGUCAACCAGUCAACCAGAAUGCAAAAAAGUCAACCAGAGUGUAGAAAAAGUUGCAAUCGAGUGGCGUUGAGCGGUAAUUUCCGCUGAGCACUAGUUUUCAGGUGUCGAAAUCACCAUUGAGGGGCAAAAAACAGCAGUUGAGGGGAAAAACUAAGGUGUCGCCCUUGCCGCUGAGCGGUAAAAACCAUUGAGCAACACUUUUCUCGGUUUGGGCCUACUUUUAUGUAUUUUUUAGAAUAUUAUAUAAGCUUUAGGAUGUUCUAGGGUUUGUAUCUUUGGCUGGAACGAAGCAAGAAUGCACUCUUUCACCCCUUGGAGGAGGAUUUUGGAUGAUAAGGCUCCUUUCUCAACUUUCUAGGGUUCUAUCCUUCACUUUUCCAUUGUAUUUCAUCUAGUUUCACCAUGAAUAUUGGGAACUAAACUUAUUUUGUUGUUGGGGAAUCAACCCCAACAUAUUACAAACCUAGACAUAGGAGUAUGAUGGUUGGUUUCCUUUAAGCUUUUGUGCUUCAGAAUUAAUUAUUAGGGAUGCUAGGAAUUGUAUGAACUCAUAAUUAAGGAUAGGCUUUCUUCACCGAGACAUCGGGUUUAAAGUAAUUUAGAAAGUGGCAUUAACAUUAAUGAAAAGAAUGAUGAAUUCCUACAUACAAGAGAGUGGAUAAGAUGAAAUUAAUAAACCCCAACAACAUAUUCAUCCAUAUAUUUCAAUUCACGUGUUUUGUUUCUUCUUGCCCAUUGAUCAACACAUGCAUACAUAUUUACUUUUCAGUCUUUUGGAUUUGAAACUUACAACAAUUUGUUCACAAGUCUUAAUUAAUCAACAAAAUCACACAACUGUCUAGGCUGUGAGUCCUUUGGGAGAACGAUACUUGGUCUUACCAGGUUUAUUACUUGAUAUGAUUCGGUUACACUUGCCGAGGGUUAACCAGCUUUUGAGUCCGUUUUCGGGGAUUAAAAAUUUGUGCAUCAAAAAUCCAGAGGACCAAGUGCCUCCCACGCCCGGUCGUACUCAUAACCGCAUCCAGUCUCCAAGGUGAACAGCCUCUCGUC